GAGUUUACAACUCCCAAACCCCUGUGAACUAUACCAUUUGUUGCCUCGGCGGCGUUCCGCUUCACGGCGGGCCCGCCAGAGGACCCAAACUCUUGUAUUUGAAUUGAGUCUUCUCUGAGUGAUACAAGCAAUAAAUUAAAACUUUCAACAACGGAUCUCUUGGUUCUGGCAUCGAUGAAGAACGCAGCGAAAUGCGAUAAGUAAUGUGAAUUGCAGAAUUCAGUGAAUCAUCGAAUCUUUGAACGCACAUUGCGCCCGCCAGUAUUCUGGCGGGCAUGCCUGUUCGAGCGUCAUUUCAACCCUCAAGCCCCCGGGCUUGGUGUUGGAGAUCGGCACAACGUCCCUCGCGGACGCGCCGUCUCCCAAAUCUAGUGGCGGUCUCGCUGUAGCUUCCUCUGCGUAGUAACUCACCUCGCACUGGGACGCGGCGCGGCCACGCCGUUAAACACCCCACUUCUGAAGGU
rnacentral:rRNA from 1 species